rnacentral:rRNA from 1 species
UACGGAGGGGGCGAGCGUUAAUCGGAAUUACUGGGCGUAAAGGGUUCGUAGGUGGUUAAAUAAGUUAGAUGUAAAAACCCUGGGCUUAACCUAGGACUGAGAUUUAAUACUGUUUAACUAGAGUAUAGGAGAGGGUCGUGGAAUUUCCGGUGUAGCGGUGAAAUGCGUAGAGAUCGGAAGGAACACCAGCGGCGAAGGCGGCUCCCUGGCCUAAUACUGACACUGAGGCACGAAAGCGUGGGGAGCAAACAGG